AACGCACAUUGCGCCCGCCAGCAUUCUGGCGGGCAUGCCUGUUCGAGCGUCAUUUCAACCCUCGACCUCCCCUUGGGGAGGUCGGCGUUGGGGACCGGCAGCACACCGCCGGCCCUGAAAUGGAGUGGCGGCCCGUCCGCGGCGACCUCUGCGCAGUAAUACAGCUCGCACCGGGACCCCGACGCGGCCACGCCGUAAAACACCCAACUUCUGAACGUUGACCUCGAAUCAGGUAGGACUACCCGCUGAACUUAA
rnacentral:misc_RNA from 1 species